GACGGAGGGUGCGAGCGGUAAUCGGAAUUACUGGGCGUAAAGCGCAUGUAGGCGGCCGAACAAGUCAGGUGUGAAAUCCUCGGGCUUAACCUGGGAAGUGCACUUGAUACUGUCCGGCUAGAGUUUGGCAGAGGAAAGUAGAAUUCCCGGAGUAGCGGUGAAAUGCGUAGAUAUCGGGAGGAAUACCAGUGGCGAAGGCGGCUUACUGGACCAAUAGUGACGCUGAGGUGCGAAAGCGUGGAGAGCAAACAGG
rnacentral:rRNA from 1 species